rnacentral:rRNA from 1 species
GGCUCCGGCCUAUCAGCCUGAAGGCGCGAUCUCGUCUGAUCUCGAAGCUAAGCAGGUCGGGCCUGGUUAGGAUCUUGGAUGGGAGACCACCUGGGAAUCCCGGGUGCUCGAGGCU